rnacentral:rRNA from 1 species
GAUGAACGCUGGCGGCGUGCUUAACACAUGCAAGUCGAACGGAAAGGCGCAAGGUUGCUUGGGUACUCGAGUGGCGCACGGGUGAGUAACACGUGUGUGAUCUGCCCUGCACUUCGGGAUAAGCCUGGGGAACUGGGGCGAAUACCGGAUAGGACAUCAUUUAGGAUGGUGUGGUGGAAAGUUUCUCGGUGUGGGUUGAGCUCGCGGCCUAUCAGCUGGUUGGUGGGGUAAUGGCCUACCAAGGCGUCGACGGGUAGCCGGCCUGGGAGGGUGUACGGCCACAUUGGGACUGAGAUACGGCCCAGACGCCUACGGGAGGCAGCAGUGGGGAAUAUGGCACAAUGGGCGCAAGCCUGAUGCAGCGACGCCGCGUGCGGGAUGACGGCCUUCGGGUUGUAAACUACUUUCGCUAGGGACGAAGCGCAAGUGACGGUACCUGGAGAAGAAGCACCGGCUAACUACGUG